UACUUGUGAGGUACUGUAGAGUACCUGUGUACAUUGUAGUACUUGUGAGGUAUGGUGGAGUACCUGUGUACAUUGUAGUACUUGUGAGGUAUGGUUGAGUACCUGUGUACAUUGUAGUACUUGUGAGGUAUGGUGGAGUACCUGUGUACAUUGUAGUACUUGUGAGGUACUGUAGAGUACCUGUGUACAUUGUAGUACUUGUGAGGUAUGGUGGAGUACCUGUGUACAUUG